rnacentral:rRNA from 1 species
UACGUAGGUGGCAAGCGUUGUCCGGAUUUACUGGGUGUAAAGGGCGUGCAGCCGGGCUGACAAGUCAGAUGUGAAAUCCCGCGGCUCAACCGCGGAACUGCAUUUGAAACUGUCAGUCUUGAGUACCGGAGAGGUCAUCGGAAUUCCUUGUGUAGCGGUGAAAUGCGUAGAUAUAAGGAAGAACACCAGUGGCGAAGGCGGAUGACUGGACGGCAACUGACGUUGAGGCCCGAAAGCGUGGGGAGCAAACAGG